GAAAAGAAAAAAGGAAACGAAAACGCAGUAGAAGCAGAUCAUCAUCCGUUUCAUCCACGUCGUCUUCUAGCACUACAUCCACUUCUUCCUCCUCGUCACACUCAUCAUCAAGGUCAUCUUCCUCAAGUAGCAGAGAUUCUCCCAAGUCUAAAUCAAAGAAAAAGAAAAAAGAAAAACACAACAAAAAGAAAAGGAAAAAAGAAAACAAAAUGAAGAAGAAGAAAGAAAAAAAGAAAAAGAGAGAGAAAACAGGGCCUGUCCAGCUUUCCAAGUUCUUCAAAAACAAAAAGAAGAAUGAAAACUACAGCAUGAUAACUGGCAAGAAAAUUAAGAUGAGAAUAAAAAAGUCUAAGAAGGAUAAAGAGAGAGACCGGAACCGUGCAGAACUCCUUGAAUUUCUGAACUCUGCCUUAUAACGGAAGAGUGCUGACCGAGGACUUGUAAAUAAACCAAGCCACCCGUCAUCAUGCCUAGCAAAAUACUAAAAGGAAGCUCAGGGAAAAGGACGCCAAGUUUGACAAGACCAGACUCUCCUGCUGAGAUGACAAUCAGGAUGUCCUUUUUAAUAGCAAAACGAAGAUUCAUAUCCUCCUUUUGAGAUCCUAAGGUAAUAGCCAGGCUGUGGUGUUUUAGAAGAGCCUAAGAGCGUGUCAUUGACAAUGAUAAGAAAUGACACGCUGAAAUCCAGUAAUGUAUUUCUAUCCUAAAUGCAUGCAGAAUGCACUCUUAAUUUCAAAUGUCUUCAUGUUUCUAGUAGUUUAAGAAAAGCAGAGUAUUUGUAAAUGUCUGUUUGAAAGAUGAGGCAUUUCUAUAUGUAUAUUUUUUUCAGUAGUGGUUUUACUUGUCCUAAAGAGCAAGUUGAGUUUUGUAAAUAGAACGUGCUUUUACAUAAAUGAUUUUUUGACAGUUCAUUCACUAAUACAUUAUUUUCUUUCA